rnacentral:snRNA from 1 species
GUGCUCACUUUGGCAGCAUAUAUGCUAAAAUUGACACAGAGAAGAUUUGCAUGGCCCCUACACAAGGGUGACAUGCAAAAUUCUUGGAAGCGUCCCAUAUUUUU